GAUGAAUGCUGGCGGCGUGCCUAAUACAUGCAAGUCGAACGCUUUGUGGUUCAACUGAUUUGAAGAGCUUGCUCAGAUAUGACGAUGGACAUUGCAAAGAGUGGCGAACGGGUGAGUAACACGUGGGAAACCUACCUCUUAGCAGGGGAUAACAUUUGGAAACAGAUGCUAAUACCGUAUAACAAUGACAACCGCAUGGUUGUUAUUUAAAAGAUGGUUCUGCUAUCACUAAGAGAUGGUCCCGCGGUGCAUUAGCUAGUUGGUAAGGUAAUGGCUUACCAAGGCGAUGAUGCAUAGCCGAGUUGAGAGACUGAUCGGCCACAAUGGGACUGAGACACGGCCCAUACUCCUACGGGAGGCAGCAGUAGGGAAUCUUCCACAAUGGGCGAAAGCCUGAUGGAGCAACGCCGCGUGUGUGAUGAAGGGUUUCGGCUCGUAAAACACUGUUGUAAGAGAAGAAUGACAUUGAGAGUAACUGUUCAAUGUGUGACGGUAUCUUACCAGAAAGGAACGGCUAAAUACGUGCCAGCAGCCGCGGUAAUACGUAUGUUCCAAGCGUUAUCCGGAUUUAUUGGGCGUAAAGCGAGCGCAGACGGUUAUUUAAGUCUGAAGUGAAAGCCCUCAGCUCAACUGAGGAAUUGCUUUGGAAACUGGAUGACUUGAGUGCAGUAGAGGAAAGUGGAACUCCAUGUGUAGCGGUGAAAUGCGUAGAUAUAUGGAAGAACACCAGUGGCGAAGGCGGCUUUCUGGACUGUAACUGACGUUGAGGCUCGAAAGUGUGGGUAGCAAACAGGAUUAGAUACCCUGGUAGUCCACACCGUAAACGAUGAGUGCUAGGUGUUUGAGGGUUUCCGCCCUUAAGUGCCGCAGCUAACGCAUUAAGCACUCCGCCUGGGGAGUACGACCGCAAGGUUGAAACUCAAAGGAAUUGACGGGGACCCGCACAAGCGGUGGAGCAUGUGGUUUAAUUCGAAGCAACGCGAAGAACCUUACCAGGUCUUGACAUCCCUUGACAACUCCAGAGAUGGAGUGUUCCCUUCGGGGACAAGGUGACAGGUGGUGCAUGGUUGUCGUCAGCUCGUGUCGUGAGAUGUUGGGUUAAGUCCCGCAACGAGCGCAACCCUUAUUACUAGUUGCCAGCAUUCAGUUGGGCACUCUAGUGAGACUGCCGGUGACAAACCGGAGGAAGGUGGGGAUGACGUCAAAUCAUCAUGCCCCUUAUGACCUGGGCUACACACGUGCUACAAUGGCGUAUACAACGAGUUGCCAACCCGCGAGGGUGAGCUAAUCUCUUAAAGUACGUCUCAGUUCGGAUUGUAGGCUGCAACUCGCCUACAUGAAGUCGGAAUCGCUAGUAAUCGCGGAUCAGCACGCCGCGGUGAAUACGUUCCCGGGUCUUGUACACACCGCCCGUCACACCAUGAGAGUUUGUAACACCCAAAGCCGGUGGGGUAACCUUCGGGAGCCAGCCGUCUAAGGUGGGACAGAUGAUUAGGGUG
rnacentral:rRNA from 1 species